GGUCAAUGGGCGAGAGCCUGAACCAGCCAAGUCGCGUGAAGGAAGCAGGAUCUAUGGUUCGUAAACUUCUUUUGCAGGGGGAUAAAGUGCAGGACGUGUCCUGUUUUGUAUGUACCCUGAGAAUAAGGAUCGGCUAACUCCGUGCCAGCAGCCGCGGUCAUACGGAGGAUCCGAGCGUUAUCCGGAUUUAUUGGGUUUAAAGGGUGCGUAGGUGGUUUGAUAAGUCAGCGGUGAAAGUUUGCAGCUUAACUGUAAAAAUGCCGUUGAAACCGUCGCACGUGAGUGUAAAUGAGGGAGGCGUAAUGCGUGGUGUAGAGGUGAAACGCAUAGAUAUCACGCAGAACUCCGAUUGCGAAGACAGCUUACUAAGCUACAACUGACACUGAAGCACGAAAGCGU
rnacentral:rRNA from 1 species